rnacentral:rRNA from 1 species
AACGAACGCUGGCGGCAGGCCUAACACAUGCAAGUCGAGCGCACCCUUCGGGGUGAGCGGCGGACGGGUGAGUAACGCGUGGGAACGUGCCCUUCUCUGCGGAAUAGCCUCGGGAAACUGAGAGUAAUACCGCAUACGCCCUUUCGGGGAAAGAUUUAUCGGGGAAGGAUCGGCGCGCGUUGGAUUAGGUAGUUGGUGGGGUAAUGGCCCAUCAAGCCGACGUUCCAUGGCUGGUUUGAGAGGAUGAUCAGCCACACUGGGACUGAGACACGGCCCAGACUCCUACGGGAGGCAGCAGUGGGGAAUCUUAGACAAUGGGGGCAACCCUGAUCUAGCCAUGCCGCGUGAGUGAUGAAGGCCUUAGGGUUGUAAAGCUCUUUCAGCUGGGAAGAUAAUGACGGUACCGGCAGAAGAAGCCCCGGCUAACUCCGUG